CCUACGGGAGGCAGCAGUAAGGAAUAUUGGACAAUGGGGGCAACCCUGAUCCANGCCAUCCCGCGUGCAGGAAGACGGCCCUAUGGGUUGUAAACUGCUUUUAUUAGGGAAGAACAGCAUCAAUGUAUUGGUGUAUGACGGUACCUAAAGAAUAAGCACCGGCUAACUCCGUGCCAGCAGCCGCGGUAAU
rnacentral:rRNA from 1 species